GUGCCAGGGAUGAGGACAGGGCUCUGUCCCACUACAAACCAAGGCCUGACCCGGCCCUGGCCCCACACGGGCAUUCCGAGCAUCCCGAGGUGUCUCGGGACAUCGAUCUCAUCCAGCCUCUGACAGCGACCACAGAGACACUACCACCUGACAGGUCCAGCUGACCCUGGCAUGUCGAGGGCUGCUUCUCAUCAGCCCCUGAAGCACUGGGGCUCUGGGCUUUCCUUCCUAGGGGAGAGAACUCUCCUUCCCCUCCAGGGACCUAUGGCGAAAACUGGGAUUUCUCCUCCAAAUUUCCUUACAUGCAAAGAUUGUUUCUAGAUGAAAUCUGCCAGGACAGACAGAUCUGGCUGCCUUGGCCACCUGGGGCCCACCUCUCAUCUGCCUUUGAAACACUGGGAUCAUGUGCUUUUAUUUCCUAUGAGAUAAAACCAUCCAUCUCGACCAGGCACCCAUGGCCAAAACUGGGCAUCUGCCUCCAGCAUUCCCUGUAUCCAAGGAUAGCUCCCAGACAAAAGCUGCCAGGACUGACAAGUCUGGCUGGCCUUGGCUUCCUGAGGGCUGGCACUCACCUGCCUCUGAAACACUGGGGCUUUGUGCUUUCCUUCCUAAUGAAAAGAACUUUUCUUCCGGUCCAGAAGCCCAUGUCCAAAAUGGUGAUUCCAUGUCCAAAAUUCCGUAUGUCCAAAGAUAGCCCCUAGACAAUGCCAGGAGAGAGAGGUCUGGCUGGCUUGGCCUAAGGGUCGCCACCUCUUGUCUUCAUCCAGAACACUUGGACUUGGCUCUUUUCUUUCCAACAGGAAAAAAGCAUCCACUUUGACCAGGUGCACAUGGCCAAAACUGGGAUUCCACCUCUAAAACUCCGUAAAUCCAAGGAUUGCUCCCAGUGAAAGCUGCCAGGACAGAUAGGUAUGGCUGCCCUUGGCCUCUUGGACCUGCCUCUCACCUGCUUUUGAAACCCUUGGGCUUGGUGCUUUUCUUCCAAUGGAAAAGAACCAUCCUUCUUAUUUGUGCAAAAAUGGCCAAAACUGGGAUUCCUCCUCCCAAAUUCCAUAUAUCCAAGGGUUGCUGUCAGACAAAAGCUACCAGGACAGAGAGGUCUGGCUGGCCUAGGCCUCUGAUGACCACCUUUCAUCUGCCCCUCAAACACCGGUGUUCUGUGCUUUCCUUCCUAUGGAAAAGAACAAUCCUUAUCCUCUGGGUGCCCAUGUCUGAAACUGGGAUUCCACCUCCAAAAUUCUGUAUAUCCAAGGGUUGCUCCCAGGCAAAAUCUGCAAGAACCAUCAAGUCUGGCUGGCUUUGGCCUCUGGUGACUGCCCCUGCAACACUGGGGCUUGGUUCUUUCCUUCCCAUGGAGAUCCCUGGGACACUGUGGGGAUCUCAUGGAACCAAGGGGAUCCUUGUGGCACCACUGGAGCCCAUGGAACCAAGGGGCCAUGGUGCCACAGCGGGGCUUCAUGGAGCCCAGAGACCAUUAUGGCUCUGUGGGGCCUGAUGGAGCCAUGGAAACCAUUAGGGCCUUUCAGGGCCUCAUGUCACCAAGGGGACAUUAUGACACCUCAGGGCCUCAUGGAACCAAGGGACCUUUGGGACACCGUGGGGCCCCAUGGAAGCGAGGGAACAUGGAACAGGUCUGGUUGGCUUGGCCUCCCAGGGCCACCUGACAGGUCUGGCUGAUGUUGGAAUGUCAAGGGCUGCCUCUCAUCAGCUCCUGGUGUGCUGGAGCUCCAUGUUUUCCUUGCUAUGGAAAAGAACCAUCCCUCUUAUCAGGUGCCCAUUGUCAAAAUAGUGCUUCCAUCCUCCCUGGAGUGAGAGAAAAGGACAAAGUGCAGGCACACAGAGGAGCAACAUGAAGACAGCAAGGUCAGUGAAGGGGAAGUUGAGUCCCAAAUGGGAGGGAUGAAGAAAUGCCUUGAUCUUGGGGCUGAAAUCCUCUUGUAAAGCUAUGGAGAAGGAUGUAAUUGAUACAUCAGACUCUCUUUUUCCCUAUAAGGCAUUGAAAAGCAUGGGGAGAUGACUUGUUCAGCAAAGGCCUCCAUGCUAAAGUAAGCAAAUGUUGAAGUAGCUGUGAUCCCAUGAGAAGUUUGAACAGAGAAAAAAAAAGACAUGAGACCCUGUGCCCUCAGGGAGAGAAGAAGAUCUGUGUUCUCAGAGAAGAAGAUGAUGAGAACAUUUGCUCUUAAACAGCUCAUCUUUAAACUAAUACCCCAUAAGCUGACAUGGCCCAUAAACACAGCUCUGCAAAAAGCUGUGAAAAAAUGGGAGGGACUUCACAAUGGUUAAUUUUUUAGGCAGCUGGUAUUCAUGGAAAUUGACAGCCAUGAGGGAACUUCUUAUGGAGGAGUCUCCAGAGCAUGGAAGACAGACACCUCUCCCUAAAAGAAAUUAAGAAAAACAAUUCUAGAGCUUAUAAACUGACUGCAACUUUUAGGUUUUGCCUCUUUACAUUGUUAGUAAGAAAGAAAAGGUUGUACCGAGAGGAAAAGUAUUCUGAAUGUUUUCUUCUGAUUCUUAUUACACUUUCUUUUAGUUACUGUAAAUAAAGUUUUCUUUAUACCCUU